UGCUCCUUACAGGGGCCCCAAGCUUGUCCCCCCAUGACUUCCUCCGGGUGAACAGAGAUGCGACCUGCUUCUCCUCGACCUCGCAGCCCUGCAGACAGUGGAGACAAUGACUGCGUCCUCCCACUGCUUUUCUCACCCCUGCUUUUCCCACCCGGGGACGCUGCUCCAGGUCUCCCUCCUCCUCGGCGCUCUCGGGAAUUCCACGUGUGUGGCCUCCGCUCACAGCGACACCCCCCAGGAGGACAACCCCAUCCCGCUGCUCUUCCCGGUUUCCCGGUCCUGCGGUGCCUCUACGGCCUUGCACUUGCUCACACUUGGGUGGUGAAAGCAUUCUGCUGUUUCACAGCACAUUUUGUCUCUUUGAAGACUAAUGUGUCAUCUGAGAACAACAGCAAACAUUCUGCUUCUCUUGGCUUCCCUUGAGUUCAUCGCACUGAGAAGUCCAGCAAGGAAUGAACGAUGAAGGAAAUGCUGCUGAAUUACUCCAGUGUCUGCAUGAACGUCCUACGUGGGUUUUCAGCAGGCGUGAUUCACCUCUUUUAAAUUUAAUAACUAAUAUGGCAGUUGAGCAAUGAAAAUGGAAUCUCCACUGCAUCUAUUAAUAGUAGGGCUGACGGUAAAUUCCUCUCCAGCUUGGACGAGGAAGUGUUUUUCCUUCCUUGGGUCUCUCUUAGGGUUUAGUUUCUAUCACAUCCCGCGAGCCUAUGAGGAUUAGAUCUGCUACUGACUGCAGAGAGAGAACUCUGUUGCUGAAAGCCCCUUUUCGCAUCGCACGGUUAAGUCCCACAUUUGAGACUUAACCAGAGCGGUGUCGUCCAAAAACACGAGUCUGCUAGAAUAACAAACACCACGUAUCAUUGCCAUCUUUGCUUCUUUAGGAAUUAUUCGCCAACAGAAUACAAAAGAAUAACACACACGGAUGGUUUGCAAAAUGUACUUCAUAGCUCCCUUCGACAAAUUUCCUGCCUUCAACUUCUGUGUUUGUCUCGCUUACAGCCAACAUUUUAUAAUCCUCUUCUUUGUUAAGCUUUCCGAACUGGCCUUCACAUUUCAAAACAACGGCUAAGGUGAACCUGUCCACCGUGAUAAAUCCUCCCCACCCCCUCGGCCAAAGGACACUAGAGUGGACUUCCUUUAUCUUUUAGUAAGAAGCUAUUUUUUUUUUCCCUGUGGGGACAAUUAGAGACUAAUCUCUGGAAGCCACCUAUGCUGUUUUUGAUCAUCAGUAGCGUCUUUCAAAACGCAGGUCCUGUUAAGUGACAAGACAUCCACCAGGAUGCUCUGCAACGAGAGGAACCUCAUGCAUUUGCUUGUGAUGGAAGUCGAGGACACUCCUGGUAAUUAAGGGGGAUGAGUGGAACGGUGUGGCUGGAGCCAAGUCCAGGCCCAAGGUUUCCUGGGCCUACGAAGAAUGAAAGCUGCUUACCCCCACGAGAAGUGGCUCGUUCCUUUCUAUUUGUUCUUGUGCCAGCCCUGGCUUCUCUGGCUGUCCCAUUCAAUCUGAUAGAACAUGUUGAUGAAGAUAAAGUCGUUCUUGGCAACCCGGGGCUUGCAUGUCCCUGCAAGGCCAGUGCUGUGUGAGGGUGGCAUCCAAUGGCCUUUAAAUGGCCAGAGGCUCAGGCCCAGUGUGAUGGACAUAUUUCAAUAUUUAUGUGCAAAAGAAUGCCUCCUUUAUUCCUUGGUAUCACCACAACGUCCCCAUUAUUUCAUGAAUUAACCUAACCUACAAGGUCACACCAGGAAGGAUCUAUAGACACAUUUUUUUUCACAAGACAUUAAGAUGAAACUGGUAAAAGAGAGGAACGAGCAUCUCCCGCAGCAAGCCAGUGACUUAGUCUUACAAUUUCUGCUGAUCAUCGAUUGGCCUAGUCAUCAUUCCAGAACAGCCCGGCAUGUGGAUUAUUUUAAGGUGACCUCUGCACCAAAGGUGUGUUACUGUUACCUAUUAAUUAAUUCACCAAUCGAUGCAUCCCCUUCCUCACGAUUCAUCGAAUGCAGAGACUGCACUGGCCCCUGCCCCCAGAGGAACUCAGUGAAUGACGGAGACAGAACGAGACGUGCUUGGACACGAGCUUACAGCAAGCAUGCACCCUGCCAGUUUUCAGCUGGAGAGGACAGAGGGCACUCACAGCAACGCUUCCUGAGGGGUGUGAUGCUUGAGCCGUACUGCGAAGAAUAAGUGAAGAAUAACGUGCAGGUGUGCAGAGGAAAAGGGAGGAGAAAGGGGAGGAACACAGCAUGAAAAGACACAGAAGUGGAGGCGGUAGGAAGAGGCCAGCACCUCCGCCAGGGAGUGAGAGCAGAGGUUCCAAGUGCACAACACAGCAUGACUUGAUGGAAUCGGACAGCAAGGAGCCCCCUGCCCUGAACAGAUCCUAUAUGUAGGAGGCUCUCUGCUCCCAGUCAAGGUCACCAGUCACAUCAGGAUGACAAACAUACUUGUUAGAUGACUGAAUUAAUUACAGCACACACUUGAUUGUAUCACCUAAAUGCCUUUUCAUUGCGGUAAGGGGAGGUUCUUCUAAUAAUAAUUUCAAUUAAUUGAAGGUAUCCAGGAAAGCUCGGUAAUCUAAAACAAAAGAGAAAUAACCACCCACCAUGCUUCAGAGCAUUGCUUCUCUGGUCUAUUUUUCAUGGUCAUUCUCGGAACCAGGAGUUCUAGAGAAUGGAAAGAAAGAAAGUAAAAGUGGUUGUGGUUGGGCAGGGGAUGGAGAAGACAGCAAUGGAAAGCACGGCUCCAACCAGCUGGUUAUUAGGGCAAAUGAAAUCUCUAGAAGGGCAGGACCUUUUUGUUCUUCCUGUCCAGGAAAACACAAAGAUGCCUAAGACAUUCCCCUAAUGGUCAAGCCACGACCUGAGAGGAAGGGAAACACAUGAUGCCAUGGAGACGACAUAUCUGUCUCGCUCCAGCUCUGGGGAAGGAGUAAUACAGUCCGUUUGCACCUCCUCUGUUGCAAUGGCUUCUGAAAGGGCAGAGUAGCAAGGAAAGGAGAAGGGGCAGCUUUCUUCCCAUGAAUACCUGUGGAAAGAUACACUUUUUCUUCGGGAUCAGAGUUUUAAUCCAAAUCUACUCACGGCUGUCAUCAUGCAAGCCCUCCGAGGUUUGAGCUCUGUGGGCUUUGCAAAGAGGACAGGGGGAAGAAGUUUUGUUUUAAUGUUCAACUAGGGGCUUCAUUACCCAGCAGUCUGAGACAUUUCCCUGUGUUGUAACACUUGGAUCUGGUUCAUGGAAUCUUCCCCGCUUUCAAAACAGAUGACCUCUCACUAGAAGAUUCACUUAUCUCUUUCCCCCUGGCCCUGUAAACCAGUCCAGCAAAGUCUUAACUUGCAACAAACAGGCAAUUCACUUCACCAGAAAACACAGUUAUCUAAUCUCCCAAAAAUGACACCUGGCAAGUUUCUAACCAUAAUGCCAUUUGACUCAUUUCCAUCAACAUUUCUUCUUACAAGCAAUAUUAAUAAGGCCUUUUAAGUGUGAAGGCGCUGUAACCAGGGGGAAAUAAAAUAAUAAUAAUAAUACACAGCCUGAUGAACAGCCUCCACUCCAAGCUGAGUGUUUGAAGAUGUGUCAACCAUGUUCCAAGGAGAAUGAAUGGGCUCAUGCAUCACUCAUCAAUGUGUAUUGGGCCUUGAAUACGUGCGAGGUCCUGUGCUUGUUGCAGAGAUACAAGUGGUCUUUGUCCUCAUGGAGCAGAUAGUCUAGGAAGGAAGACAGAUGCCACAUACCGCAGGUGAGUAUUUCUCACACCACCACUUGCUAGCUGAUUAAGACGGAAAAUCAGUAUUCGCCUUCUCAGAUGGGUCAUUUCCCCAUAAAGGGCCUUGCUGUUGUCAUAUAUUCUUUUUUUUCUACUAAAGUGCACAAUUUUCAAAUGAAAGAAUGGAAGCGAUUAUUUGUCAAACCAUGAAAGUACUUCCUUUUGUCAUUAAUCACGUUGCUCAAUAUCCAUGCAGUGAGUAAAUUUUUUAUACAGAGUACCAGAAAGUAGACGUGAGUGGCCAAUAAGCCCUCUUUGGCCAUCUUUGUGUAGACAGACAAGCCAAGCGGGAGCACAGGGACCCCAGCCUUGGAGAAUAGGCGUCUGCAGUGUGCUAUCAGAAAUGCCAGGAGCUCAUCCCAUCCAAGGCCUUCCUGCCAGGGAGGUCGGCACCUGAACUCGCAGAGAGAGACAGCAAUGUGAGAGAGAAACUGGGAAAGAACAGCCUGUUCUGGCUCAGGUGGAUGGCCUUAGGUCCAUCGAGGGCGGCAAGAAACAGAAAGACGCCCCACUUGGAUCUAGCCACCCAACUAGAACAUUGACAUCAGCAAUAUUUGUACCUCGGGAGCUCAUUAGACCGCUUCUCAAAGCCUAAUGAACACAUCAACACCCCAGGAUUUUGUUAAAAUGCAGAUUCAGAGGCUCCCAGGGAACCUGAGAGUCUGGAUUUCUAACAAGCUCCAGGUGAAGCUCAUUACUGGAGGCAUUAGGUUAGGUUAGGUUACAGCCUAACACUGCUCGCGGACUGCAACCGGAGGGGCCGCCAACGACACUAAGGAGGAGAGAUCUCAAGGAGACAGGAGAACCGGGACAGGGAGAUGGCCCCAAGGCCGAAGACAAAAGCAGGUAUCAUAUUGUCAUAUCCUGCAGAUAAAGAGGGAAAGGCACGUGCUGGAUUUAGCUAUGGAGCAACUGUAGCCGUUAAAUUCUUUGAACCUUUUUCAGGUCAGAACAGAGAUCAUAUUCUGAAGAAAUUUAGACACUGAAAGGGGAAGAAAAUGUCCCAUGGUAUUCUCUCCUCCCAACAUCUGCUGGGACGAGAGCCUCUCUGACUACACCAAAAUCCUAGUUUCCAAGCAUGGAACAGUGGCUGGGGAUGUACAACUUCACAGGCCAUCUUAUUUCCAUGUAUCUUCCCAGCUUAACUGAGGGAUAACUGGCAACAGAAGCUGCAUAUAUUCAGGGCAUCCAGUGUGAUGAUUUAAUAUACGUAUGUGAUGCGAAAAGAUUACCAUAAUCAAGCUAAUUAACGCAUCUAUCACCUCACACUUAGCUUUUUUGGGAGAGGAGUGGGGGUAAGAACACUUAAGAUCUACUCUUCUGGCAAAUUUCAAGUAUACACACAGUAUUAUUAACUACAGCCACAAAUAAAAUCUUAAGAAGAAAAGGAGGGGAUCCCUGGGUGGU